UUUUAUGUAGUUUGGCAGGAUUUUUUAGUAUUUUACUACUUUAUUAAUUGACGAGUACUUUAGUUUAUUGAUCUUAUGAAUGUGAUUAAAUUUUUUAUGUGGUCACCCAAUGGAGGAGAAAACUGCCAAACUUUGCCCCUAAUCGCGCUGGCAUCGCUUGACUGACUCAUACAAAUGUAAACAAACGUCAAAUCCGUAGUAUAAUGAAGUAGACUUCAUUAUUACAAAACAAGAUAAAACAUUUUUUUUCUCCAAAAAUGCCUCGCUGCGCAGCAAUCGGUUGUAAUAAUAAUGGAAAUCACAGUUUUCCUAUGGAUAAAAUAAUAUUUUCAUAAGAUUACUCUGGGAAAAAGCUCUGAAUAGACGUAAUUUCAAAGCAACAAACUCAUCGAGGUUAUGUUCGGAACAUUUUAUUGAAUCCGAUUAUGAAGGCGUAAGCUCUUCUACAGCAAAUAUUGCAAGGGAACAAAGAUAUUUGAAACGCCAUAAUAGAAAAACACUGGUAUUUCCAUCAACAGCUGCAACAGAGAUUGACAUUAAUAUACCUUCUAUACCUGAAGAUACCAUUGAAGAUUUAUUUCAGGUUCCUGACUUUCAAGUUGCUAUUUUGUUUAUGAAUUGUGAAAAAAAAAUAGAAAUUUGGCCUAGUCACUUACUGGUUGAUUAUUAUACGCCAGAUUUAUGUAAGCAAUAUCAUCCAGCUACCACAGUGAUAAUAGAUGGUACCUAUAUCAAAAUCAAAAAACCCUACAGUGCAACAAGCAAGAUUUAGUAGCUACAAACACCACAACAUCAUAAAAUUCUUGGUGGGUGCUUUACCUGGUUGCUUGAUAUCCUUUUGUUCAGAUGGAUAUGCAGAUCUACCAGUACCGCCUCCUAUUACUUAUAGGAGGAAUAACCUUGUAGCUGUUAUUGAUGAAAAAGAUGCAAUAAUGGCUGACUGUGGAUUGAAUGUGAAAGAUCAGUGUGAACAAAAAGAUGUUGCCAUUUAUUUAUACACCAACAUUUUUGAAGGUUCAAUCACAAUUGCCUGGUGUAAAAUUAGAAAAAUGAUAGACAAUAUAAAAUUUUAAAGAAGGAAUUGUGAAAUAAAAGACCAAAGUAAUCA